CAGCCGCCACGGGAAUACGAAGGGUGCAAGCGUUAAUCGGAAUUACUGGGCGUAAAGCGUGCGUAGGCGGUUUGUUAAGUCUGCUGUGAAAUCCCCGGGCUCAACCUGGGAAUGGCAGUGGAUACUGGCAAGCUAGAGUGUGUCAGAGGAUGGUGGAAUUCCCGGUGUAGCGGUGAAAUGCGUAGAGAUCGGGAGGAACAUCAGUGGCGAAAGCGGCUCACUGGACCAUUUCUGACGCUGAUGCACGAAAGCUAGGGGAGCAAACAGGAUUAGAUACCCCUGUAGUCCCUGUCUCUUAUAU
rnacentral:rRNA from 1 species